CCGAGUUUACAACUCUCAAACCCCUGUGAACAUACCACUUGUUGCCUCGGCGGAUCAGCCCGCUCCCGGUAAACGGGACGGCCCGCCAGAGGACCCCUAAACUCUGUUUCUAUAUGUAACUUCUGAGUAAAACCAUAAAUAAAUCA
rnacentral:misc_RNA from 1 species